CUUCACAUCAAUGUUGUCUUUGAUGGCAAAUGAGAGGCCAGAAAGGGAAAGUCGAGCAGCUGGAGGAGGUGGUUGAGGAAACGGAAGCAACUCGAUUCGUUCAAUAAAAGCGCCAAAGUCUUGUUUGAUUGAGUUUCUAGCUUUCAAUCGUCGCCGAUUGACCUCAGCCAUGAUCAAUAUUCCGGCGAAUCCGACGCCGAUCACAACCCAGACUUUGGGGUUCGAUACAUUGAGUUUUGUCAUCACCGGCAGCUCGGCAGCAAAAUUUGAAGGUUUU
rnacentral:misc_RNA from 1 species